rnacentral:rRNA from 1 species
GAUGAACGCUAGCGGCAGGCCUAACACAUGCAAGUCGAGGGGUAACAGGGAAAAGCUUGCUUUUUUGCUGACGACCGGCGCACGGGUGCGGAACGCGUAUGGAACCUGCCCCUAUCAAGGGAAUAGCCCGUGGAAACGCGGAUUAAUGCUCUAUAGUAUUAAUUGAUUGCAUAAUUAAUUAAUUAAAGAUUUAUCGGAUAGGGAUGGCCAUGCGUAUCAUUAGCUAGUUGGUAAGGUAACGGCUUACCAAGGCAACGAUGAUUAGGGGCCCUGAGAGGGGGAUCCCCCACACUGGUACUGAGACACGGACCAGACUCCUACGGGAGGCAGCAGUGAGGAAUAUUGGACAAUGGUCGGGAGACUGAUCCAGCCAUGCCGCGUGCAGGAUGACUGCCCUAUGGGUUGUAAACUGCUUUUUUACAGGAAGAAACCUACUUACGUGUAAGUAGCUGACGGUACUGUACGAAUAAGGACCGGCUAACUCCGUGCCAGCCGCCGCCGUAACAC